UCCCAUAACACAAGUUAGUAAGACCCCUUGAAGACGACGAGGUUGAUAGGGCAGAGGUGGAAGCGUGGUAACAUGCGCAGCUGACUGCUACUAAUAGGUCGAGGGCUUGACCUG
rnacentral:rRNA from 1 species